rnacentral:pre_miRNA from 1 species
ACUCGAGGGAGGGGGUCCCUCAGCCCAGAUUGUGAGAGGGUGCAGGCCAGGCUGAGGGACCCCACUGGUGAAGA